UGAAAUGAUGCAUUCAUAGAAGAAUCUCGUUCGUCUGAACCCCUCUGUUGAGACUUGUACAUCUGACCAGG